AUUGAACGCUGGCGGCAUGCUUUACACAUGCAAGUCGAACGGUAACAGGGUGCUUGCACCGCUGACGAGUGGCGAACGGGUGAGUAAUGCGUCGGAACGUGCCGAGUAGUGGGGGAUAACGCAGCGAAAGUUGUGCUAAUACCGCAUACGUACUGAGGUAGAAAGUGGGGGACCUUCGGGCCUCACGCUAUUCGAGCGGCCGACGUCUGAUUAGCUAGUAGGUGAGGUAAAGGCUCACCUAGGCGACGAUCAGUAGGGGGUCUGAGAGGAUGGUCCGCCACACUGGGACGGAGACACGGCCCAGACUCCUACGGGAGGCAGCAGUGGGGAAUUUUGGACAAUGGGCGAAAGCCUGAUCCAGCCAUGCCGCGUGUCUGAAGAAGGCCUUCGGGUUGUAAAGGACUUUUGUCAGGGAGGAAAUCCCUAGUGCUAAUAACACUGGGGGAUGACAGUACCUGAAGAAUAAGCACCGGCUAACUACGUGCCAGCCGCCGCAGUAAAAC
rnacentral:rRNA from 1 species